rnacentral:rRNA from 1 species
GACGAACGCUGGCGGCGUGCUUAACACAUGCAAGUCGAACGGAAAGGCCCUGCUUUUGUGGGGUGCUCGAGUGGCGAACGGGUGAGUAACACGUGAGUAACCUGCCCUUGACUUUGGGAUAACUUCAGGUAACUGGGGCUAAUACCGGAUAGGAGCUCCUGCUCCAUGGUGGGGGUUGGAAAGUUUCGGCGGUUGGGGAUGGACUCGCGGCUUAUCAGCUUGUUGGUGGGGUAGUGGUUUACCAAGGCUUUGACGGGUAGCCGGCCUGGGAGGGUGACCGGCCACAUUGGUACUGCGAUACGGACCAGACUCCUACGGGGGGCAGCAGUGGGGAAUAUUGCACAAUGGGCGCAAGCCUGAUGAAGCAACGCCGCGUGCGGGAUGACGGCCUUCGGGUUGUAAACCGCUUUCGCCUGUGACGAAGCGUGAGUGACGGUAAUGGGUAAAGAAGCACCGGCUAACUACGUG